UCCUGCAGGGGUUGGAGAAGGUGACAUUCAUGCCAGCUGAGAGCCAGCACAGAGCUGGCCAUCAACUUGUCCCCUUCCCUUCCCCCUGCCUGCUGCUACCUCAGUAGAAACACCUGCUCUGGAUAUAGAGAAACUUUGAGAGAAGAAGAAAUAUGCAUCCAAAUAAAAAAAUGCCUUUGUCUUCCAACCUCCCUGCCCUUUUCCAGAUCUCUUUGAAAUAGCCCCCCGGCUAGGGUUUCUGGGGUGAAACACUGGCACCUGCUGCUUCCAAGCUGGGAGUAAAGUGCCCUGUAAAGGGAAGAGGAGGUGUCCUCUCUGCACUGCCACCACUGGCCAGUGUCUGUGAUCAGCAUGAGCAUCUGAGCAUUUGCUUUCCGUGAGGAAGUUUGGCCCGGACAUCUGAAGCUCAUUAGCUGCCUGCUCCCAGGGGGAUGACCCUGCUUGGAGAGAAUUAUCCCGGACAGAGCCACAGAGGAUGGAGCAAAUGAAGACCAGCUGUUCCCUGAGGACUAAGCCUUGACAGCAGAUCCUGGAAGACAGCCUUAGACCGGAUUCUGGAAAGGCCUGGCGUCUCUUCCAGAACAGCAGAGCUUCCGCCCAAACGGAACUGUUUAAGUGCAGAUAUAGUCAGAAACAGUCCCAGCCAGGAGUCCAGAGCCUGCAUCCAGUCCUGCCUAGACUGUGGAUUGACUCUGUGACCUUGGGCCAGUCCCUGGCCUCUGUUUCUUCUGCUGUAAAAUGUGGACUUGGACUUGAACACGUGGUUUCCCCACGGCUGAUCUGUCAGCUUCUCUUGGGCAAGGACUGUGCCCUCUCCUCUUGGAUGGGCCAUAGCAUUUGGGAUCAGAGGGCAGGGUUCAAGCUUCCCUGGUGAUGAUCCAGACCAUCCCUCCCCAGCAGUGUGACCAUCAGCAGGACACCACACCACGCGGUCCUCUACGCCCCUGUGGAAAGACACAGCGCAGGUGCUGACCCUCUCGUGUCUCAGGGUGGCCGUAGAUCCCAUGAGAGGUGGACCUUAAAGACCUCUGGACAACACAGAGCAAGGAGCUGUACUGGGCUGUUACGAGAGGGUGUCCUCAGCCUGCCCGGUGCCUGGCUCCUUCCUGGUUCCAUGCUGGCUCAGGGGGUCUGGCCCAGGCUUGUAGAUAGAGCCACUGCCUGCCCACAGGCUCACAUCACUCUGGCAGAAGAAUGUGUGGAUCCGGGGCCCAGCCCACCACAGGAAGUCUCAGUAACGAUGCCCAGAGGGCCUUGGGGCCCAUGACAGCAUGGCCAGCAGUUUCCCUUGUUGGAACUCAUAGAGGCCAUUUUAAAAUACAGUGCUGCCUUUUUUCCUUUCUUUCUUUUUCCAUUCUGGCGAAGGCAUGGAAUGUGAAAGUGGCUAAAUUAGCACAGGAAGAUGUAGAGGCUGGGUUCAUGGGCUGACUCAGCUUUCUGGGGUCCUAAAAACAAUGGGAGACCCAGGAAGUCUGGCCCCUGUUUCCUCAUGCCCACCUUGACCCCACUCCAGGCUCCCCUGACAGGACCGGCGUCGGGUGUGGGGGAGCGAUAACAGCCUGCCUCUGGUUCCCAGGAGACCUCUCAGGACCUCAGCUUGCCAUCUGUUAUGGACUGGAUAUUUGUGCCCCCCACCCCUGCCCCCGAAUUCAUAUGCUGAAGACCUACCCCCAAGUGUGAUGGUAUUUGGGGAUGGGGCCUUUGAGAGGUAAUUAGGUUUGGAGGAGGACAUGAGAGUGGAGCCCCACAGUGGGAUUAGUGGCUUUAUAGAAAAAGGAAGAGAAACCAGAGAUCUCUGUUUCUCUGUCUUUCUCUGGGAGCACACAGAGAACGUGUGAACCCACAGUGAGAUGGUCACCAUCCGCAAGCCGGGAAGAGGGCUCUUACCAAGCACUCACUGGCCAGCACCUUGAUCUUGGACUUCCCAGCCUGCAGCUCUGUGAGAAAUAACUGUCUGUGGUUUAAGCCACCCAAUCUAUGGCAUUUUAUUAGAGCACCCUGACUAGACUAAGACACAUGGAUGAAACAGGCAUAAUAACCCCUCCCCUGACUAUUGCUGAUAAGAAUAAGAUGCAGUACUAGCUGACCGUUCAUUGAGUAAUGCAUUCACUCAACCAAUACGUGCAAAACAGCUUCUGUGUAACAGGCACUGUUCUAGAAGCUGAGGUAUAGCAGUGAACAAAGCAGACAAAGCUCCCUGCCCUUGAGGAGCUGACGUUCUAGUAGGGAAGACCGACAGAAACCAGAUAAAGCACUGAAGGAUAUAGUGUGUCUGAUGGAUGACAGAAAGUGUCACGGAGAGCAAGUCCCCCUGGAAGGAGGCCAGCAUACCAGCAGGGAGGGGCGGGCCUGUUCACACUUAGAAAUAAGGAGGUCAGGGCAGGCCGCUGUGAGAAGGGGGCCUUUGGGGAGGGCUGAAGGAAGAGAGGGGAGGCCAUGUGAUCAUUUAGGGAAAGGGCAUUCCCAGCUGUGAAAGGACACCGGCUAUUGUAGGAAGCAGGGUACCGGCUAGAAAUGAUUUCUAGGUGUGUCUUCUGCCCCUCAAAAGUGCCCAGCUCCAUUCUGGGCACAGGCAGGCUCUGAACGGUCCAGGGCAUAACUGCAGAUGGUCCAGUCUCAUCUUCCUGUUAGCCUCACCUUAAUGGGCCAUUGUUAAGCAGCUCUUUCAUGUUAGGCACCAGAGAAUGCCUGAGGGCCCCAGAGAAAGCUCAGGCCUGCAACAGACUGGGUGUCAGGAGGCCUGGGCUCUCAUUCUGGCUCUGCUGCUGGCUGACAAGGUGACAUUAGACAAGGCACUGGCCUUAAUUUCCCAGUCAUUAAAAAAAAGGUGGAUGCUGGUUGUCAAGGGCUGAGGGGAAGGGAAAGGGAGGCAGGGGUGCUGUUGAGUACGGGGUUUCUUUCUGGGGUGAUGAAAUGCUGUGGAGUUAGAUAGUGGUGAUGGUUGCACAACUUUGUAAAUAUACUAAAAUCUACUGAGUGGCACAUUUAAAAAUAGAAAAAACAUAUGGUUGGUUGGACAAGACAACAGGAUGAAACACUAACAUUAUUUGUACCUAUGGGGCCUGGACUCAGCAUUUGCCUGUUAUCUCAUGAUCUCUAGGGUUCCUCCCAGUUCAGACUUUCUGUGAUCCACCGCAUCGAUGUUCAUGUUGCCAUCACUCAUCAGUACAUCCAACUUGAGCCCCUCACCCAGGCCCAACACUAGGCUAGAGACGGGGGAAGAGGUGAGAAGCGGAUGCAUCUCCCAGCAGGAGCUCAGAGCCUGUGAAGGAAAUCAGAAGUGCACAUUGGACCCAAGAAGUUCUUUUCUUUAGAACUAGCUCCUUCCUUUCCUUUCCUUGUAUGGAAAAGAACCCCAAAACACAAGGGAGACACACAACUCUGUGUCCGUACAAGGGGCCCUGAGAGUUGAUUUAUUCAUUAAUGCACCAGAGCCUUUGGCUGGGUGUUCAGGAUGCAAUAGUGGGCAAGUCAGACCCAGCCCUGCCCUUAGGAAGGGAGACAGACGUUAAAAUGAUCAAACACACAAUUAAGAAUUUCUUUGAUUAUUGUGAUUGUGAUCGGAACCGUGGAAGGAAAACACAUGAUGUAUUGAACGGCUGACCAAGGGCACUGGCAUGGCUGGAGCUGGGUUCUAAGGGCGAGUAGGAACAAUGAAGGGGUGUGGAGAUGGGGGUGGCGUGGGGAAGGGUGUUCCAGACAAUUCCAAGGCCCUAAGUGUCUGCAGAGGAAGGCGAGUGAAGGAAGCGCAGACAGCCAGGGGCAGGGGGCGGGCGGGGUUGGGGCGCAGCUGCAGCAGGAACAGGCCAGGCCCAACCGGGCAGGGCCUUAGAGGCCCGGAGGCCACACAUACCCGUUUAUGCCUGUCGUCCCCCUCACUCUGGAGUGUCUCAGUUCGGACAAUAAACUGUACAGCCACCCGACUUACAGGUCACACGAAGGAGUUUGUCCUAAGAACAACCCGUGCUCCGGGAAGGUCUGGUCGUGCUCCUCCAAGCCUGCUGCUCCGCACGUCGGGAGCGAGGCGCUGCCAGCCGGCGCGGCCACCGCGGUUGUUUCAGCUGGAUGAUGUGUGAGGGGCCCGGCUUGGCAGCUGCUGGCCAUCCGGCCACGCCGCCCUCCUCCCAGGCAGACCCUGCUGCCCCCACGCCAGCCUCCCCGGCUUCAGUAUCUCGAGUGAGAGCUUUGCCACCAGGUCUCAGGCCAACCCUGGUUCUUGGCUCCAGGUUCGGUGAGCCGGUUUCCGGCCGUCCCGCCCUCGGCUGCUCCCCGAGGACCAGCUCCAGGCCUCGGCCACAGCCUCUUGCUCUUUCCACUCUUGCACUCUUGUUUUUAAUUUUUGCCUCUCUUUAUUUUCCUCUCUGUGUGACUCUGUCUGCGGGGCCUCUCCCUCUUUCAUCCGCCUUCUGUUUUUUCUCUUUUUUCCUCCAGGGUAGCUUGGCACCAAGAAAAGUCUGCGUUUCAGGACAGAUGGAAUGGGGUUCCAUCCUUGCUCUGUCACCUGCUGGCCGCGUGACCUUGAGCAAACACAUCCUUCUCCUCUGAGCCAGUUUUGGGUUCUGUGAAAUGGAUGUGAUCUGCCUCAGUCCUGCGUCCCUGGGUAGUUGUGAGCUGGGAUGAAGUUCAGAGUCCUUCCUGGAAGUUGAAGGUGCUCAGCAAAUGGCAGUUUCCUCCUACCUUCCUCUUGCACUUUCUUCCCCCUGACCUUCUGCAUGCUUUGCUCACUUACCCACAAAGUGAGAAACCGAAGCCUUCCCACAGGACCCCAACCACCUUGCUCUCCCGGCGCGGCCCCACCAAACUGAGACUGGAGUGGAGCCAAGAGCCUUAUGACACGUGCGGCCUGCUCUAUGCUAGCCUGGGGCAGGAGGACGUGCCUGGAUGCCAUAAGACUCCUGGGAAGGGGGACAUGGGAGGUGUCCUCUGAGUUAUGCUGUGAUGCAGACACCAGACUCUUGUGUUUUCAUCAACUGAUGGACAAAAGUCAGCCUUUCACACACCCUCAGGCCUGCAGAUUUCUGACUGUCCCCCCCACCACAUCACACCCUGCGCUUUCCAGCAUCCCCUGGGGCUAAAACAUGAUAGAGCAGGAAACUGAGGCUCAGGAAUAUCCAGAUGCUGGUAUUUUUUGUAACAAGAAUGUGUUCAGUGUAAUAUAUUGUCCUAUUUAUUAAAAGGCAAAUAAAAUAGUUUGCCUAGGGUGCCAGUGGAUCUGGAAUUGAAACACAGGUCUGAGGGACUCCAGACUUCACACUUGUUCUCCUCUCUCUGUCACAUACUGGUGACUAUGUGGCUCCUUCUGUAACUUACUUCCUAGAUGUCACUUAAAAGACAAUUGUGUAAUAAACCCAUACAUUUGUGGUCAACUGAGUUUUGACAAAACAGCCAAGACAAUUCAAUGGAAAAAGAAUAGUCUUUUUAAUAAAUGAUG